CCUACGGGUGGCAGCAGUGGGGAAUAUUGGACAAUGGGGGGAACCCUGAUCCAGCCAUGCCGCGUGUGUGAAGAAGGCCCUCGGGUUGUAAAGCACUUUCAGUGAGGAAGAACGCCUGGUGGUUAAUACCCAUCAGGAAAGACAUCACUCACAGAAGAAGCACCGGCUAACUCCGUGCCAGCAGCCGCGGUAAUACGGAGGGUGCGAGCGUUAAUCGGAAUUACUGGGCGUAAAGCGCGCGUGGGUGGCUUGAUAAGCCGGUUGUGAAAGCCCCGGGCUCAACCUGGGAACGGCAUCCGGAACUGUCAAGCUAGAGUGCAGGAGAGGAAGGUAGAAUUCCCGGUGUAGCGGUGAAAUGCGUAGAGAUCGGGAGGAAUACCAGUGGCGAAGGCGGCCUUCUGGACUGACACUGACACUGAGGUGCGAAAGCGUGGGUAGCAAACAGGAUUAGAUACCCCAGUAGUC
rnacentral:rRNA from 1 species